rnacentral:rRNA from 1 species
UGACGAGUGGCGGACGGGUGAGUAAUGUCUGGGAAACUGCCUGAUGGAGGGGGAUAACUACUGGAAACGGUAGCUAAUACCGCAUAACGUCGCAAGACCAAAGAGGGGGACCUUCGGGCCUCUUGCCAUCGGAUGUGCCCAGAUGGGAUUAGCUAGUAGGUGGGGUAACGGCUCACCUAGGCGACGAUCCCUAGCUGGUCUGAGAGGAUGACCAGCCACACUGGAACUGAGACACGGUCCAGACUCCUACGGGAGGCAGCAGUGGGGAAUAUUGCACAAUGGGCGCAAGCCUGAUGCAGCCAUGCCGCGUGUAUGAAGAAGGCCUUCGGGUUGUAAAGUACUUUCAGCGGGGAGGAAGGGAGUAAAGUUAAUACCUUUGCUCAUUGACGUUACCCGCAGAAGAAGCACCGGCUAACUCCGUGCCAGCAGCCGCGGUAAUACGGAGGGUGCAAGCGUUAAUCGGAAUUACUGGGCGUAAAGCGCACGCAGGCGGUUUGUUAAGUCAGAUGUGAAUCCCCGGGCUCAACCUGGGAACUGCAUCUGAUACUGGCAAGCUUGAGUCUCGUAGAGGGGGGUAGAAUUCCAGGUGUAGCGGUGAAAUGCGUAGAGAUCUGGAGGAAUACCGGUGGCGAAGGCG